GUGCUAUCUGUUUAUAUAUGUUAAAUUUACAAUUUAUGAGUGUUGAGAUUAGAAUUCCUGAUAGUAAACAUGAUGGCCUGAAGGUGCAUCUUGUUUAAAAUGCUAUGGUUUUGUUGAAACAUGGAGAAAUCCUGCCAUCAGCAUGUCCAAUAUAACUGAACAGGAGGUGUUACAUUAAUAAUGGGCAUUUGUUCUCUUCAUUUUUAUUUUUUUUUCAUGUUUUUUUUGAUUCAUAUGUUUUUUAAAAGUAGAUAUUAUAAGUUCUAUUUCACUUUCUUGUUUCAGCGGAUUCGAGAACUAGAAGAUAAAAUAGAACUUCAAAAGAGGCAACUCAAAGAAAUUGAGGAAAAGCAUUCAUUCUGUGGCCUUGAUGACACAACAGAGCCAAGACGUGUGGUUGGUAUUCUUUAUAUCGUUUUGUACUCAAUUUUUAACUCCUAGAUUUUGCCAUGUUUUAAGAAUCAUCUAUGUAAGACCCUAAUACUCUGGGAAGGCUUUACUGAUUUUGCUUGCACAUAGAAGAAGAGUCACAUUGAAGAUCCAAAUUGGAUGUCUUCAGUUAGCUUUCUAGGCUUCUGCAGAAGAUCAUUCAGUUUUCAACAAGAUAUGAUUUUGCAUUCUAAGAUAUUGACUGCCUGAACUUCAGUGGGUUCUUCUCAAUUCUGUAGAGUGGGUACAUUUUAACCUAAAAGUUCAGCUAUGGCUAUAGGAUCGUACCUUUCUGUCAUGCAAGAAAACUGGAAUAUGACUGACCUUCUUUGUGCCCAUGCAAUAUAGUAAGGAUGAGACUAAGAAAUUUGUAUGUGUCUCCCUUCAAACACAACCAUCAUUCCCACUGCCCCUUCCACAGUGUGCUGACUCUUUCAGCUCAAUGCAAAAGACAGUGAAUUUCUUUAGCUGUAGCAAUACCUACAGCUAAAGACUUAAAAAGGCUUACCUUUCACACAGAACAGGAAGGAAAUACAGGUUAGAGACAAAAUCAGUCCAAGCCCUCUUCCCUGGAGCAAUGUAAGUGGCAUGUGAGGAUAUCUCCACAACCUAAUUGACAGAAGAUUAAGAUACGAUAUAAAACUAUAGAAGAUUUAUGUAGUGUUUUGUUUUGUUUUUUAAACUGAAAAUACGCAAUAUUUUUACUUUUGCAUGUUUUCAAUUCUUUUUCUUCACUGAAAUCUGUUUUGAAUUACAUUCAUGGAAACUGCUUCUGGUAAGACUGUGGUCAAUUCAAUCAACGCAUUUAUAAGCUGCUGUCAAGUACUAUACGAUGAAGCAUGAUGACAACAGUCAAUCCAAAAAAAAGCUAUUAUAUUUACCUUAUAUUAAGCCUGAAAUUGUAUUAUAUUCUGCCCAGACUACAAGUACUUUUGAAAAAUCAGUCCUGUAUUAUGGUCUCUUUUACAAGUUAGCUCCUGGUAAGCCCUGCUAUUCAGUUCCUCUUGGGAACUGGCUCAGGUCUUCCAUUACUAGCAUUUCUGUAUAGGUUUUAUGUUUUGAAAUGAAACAAUGGUAGAUGCUGGUGGGUAUAAUAUAAUGAAAGUAUUACUGACUUGCUACAAGUUCAGUAGCUUUCUUUUGAUUAUCAGAUGGGUUGAAAAUUAGGUGAAUUUCAGAUAUAUUUUUUACAGUUUUUUAACCCUUCAUUUUUAUUUUUCCUUUCUUUUGUAAAAAUAUAAAAAUAAAAAUAAACAACAUAAAAAUUUUAAAAAGAGCACAUGAUUAUAAAGAUGUGUUUGAAGAAAGG
rnacentral:lncRNA from 1 species